rnacentral:rRNA from 1 species
UUGGAGGGCAAGUCUGGUGCCAGCAGCCGCGGUAAUUCCAGCUCCAAUAGCGUAUAUUAAAGUUGUUGCAGUUAAAAAGCUCGUAGUUGAACCUUGGGCCUGGCUGGCCGGUCCGCCUCACCGCGUGCACUGGUCCGGCCGGGCCUUUCCUUCUGGGGAGCCCCAUGGCCUUCACUGGCUGUGGGGGGGAACCAGGACUUUUACUGUGAAAAAAUUAGAGUGUUCAAAGCAGGCCUUUGCUCGGAUACAUUAGCAUGGAAUAAUAGAAUAGGA